rnacentral:rRNA from 1 species
AAAGUGGCGCACGGGUGCGUAACGCGUAUGCAACCUACCUUAAUCAGGGGGAUAGCCCGAAGAAAUUCGGAUUAACACCGCAUAAAAACACAGGAUAGCAUUAUCCAAUGUUCAAAUAUUUAUAGGAUUAAGAUGGGCAUGCGUGUCAUUAGCUAGUUGGCGGGGUAACGGCCCACCAAGGCGACGAUGACUAGGGGAUCUGAGAGGAUGACCCCCCACACUGGUACUGAGACACGGACCAGACUCCUACGGGAGGCAGCAGUAAGGAAUAUUGGUCAAUGGAGGCAACUCUGAACCAGCCAUGCCGCGUGCAGGAAGACGGCCCUAUGGGUUGUAAACUGCUUUUAUCUGGGAAUAAACCUUUCUACGUGUAGGAAGCUGAAUGUACCAGAAGAAUAAGGAUCGGCUAACUCCGUGCCAGCAGCCGCGGUAAUACGGAGGAUCCAAGCGUUAUCCGGAUUUAUUGGGUUUAAAGGGUGCGUAGGCGGCCUGUUAAGUCAGAGGUGAAAGACGGUAGCUCAACUAUCGCAGUGCCUUUGAUACUGAUGGGCUUGAAUGAACUAGAGGUAGGCGGAAUGAGACAAGUAGCGGUGAAAUGCAUAGAUAUGUCUCAGAACACCGAUUGCGAAGGCAGCUUACUAUGGUUUUAUUGACGCUGAGGCACGAAAGCGUGGGGAUCAAACAGGAUUAGAUACCCUGGUAGUCCACGCCCUAAACGAUGAAUACUCGCUGUUAGCGAUAUACAGUUAGCGGCUAAGCGAAAGCGUUAAGUAUUCCACCUGGGGAGUACGCUCGCAAGAGUGAAACUCAAAGGAAUUGACGGGGGCCCGCACAAGCGGAGGAGCAUGUGGUUUAAUUCGAUGAUACGCGAGGAACCUUACCCGGGCUUGAAAGUUAGUGAAUUAUCUAGAGAUAGAUAAGUGAGCAAUCACACGAAACUAGGUGCUGCAUGGCUGUCGUCAGCUCGUGCCGUG